AGGGGUGUAGCUCAGUGGUAGAGCCUUUGCCUAGCAUGCACAAGGCCCCAGGUUCAAACCCCCAUCUUUU
rnacentral:tRNA from 1 species